AACGAACGCUGGCGGCAGGCUUAACACAUGCAAGUCGGGCGAGAUCUUCGGAUCUAGUGGCAGACGGGUGAGGAACACGUGGGAACAUCCCUUUCAGUUCGGAAUAACGUUGGGAAACUAACGCUAAUACCGGAUACGUCCUUCGGGAGAAAGAUUUAUCGCUGAAAGAUUGGCCCGCGUCUGAUUAGCUAGUUGGUGAGGUAACGGUCCACCAAGGCUACGAUCAGUAGCUGAUCUGAGAGGAUGAUCAGCCACAUUGGGACUGAGACACGGCCCAAACUCCUACGGGAGGCAGCAGUGGGGAAUAUUGGACAAUGGGCGCAAGCCUGAUCCAGCCAUGCCGCGUGAGUGAUGACGGCCUUCGGGUUGUAAAGCUCUUUUGUCCGGGAAGAUAAUGACUGUACCCUUGGAGGAAGCCCCGGCUAAAUACGUGCCAGCAGCCGCAGUAA
rnacentral:rRNA from 1 species